UACGUAGGGGGCACGCGUUGUCCGGAAUUAUUGGGCGUAAAGCGCGCGCAGGCGGUCGUUUAAGUCUGGUGUUUAAGCCCGGGGCUCAACCCCGGUUCGCAUCGGAAACUGGAUGACUUGAGUGUAAGAGAGGAAAGUGGAAUUCCACGUGUAGCGGUGAAAUGCGUAGAGAUCGGGAGGAACACCUGUGGCGAAGGCGGCCCCCUGGGCCGGCCCUGACACUGAGACGCGAAGGCGUGGGGAGCGAACGGG
rnacentral:rRNA from 1 species